rnacentral:rRNA from 1 species
ACCUGACUGCUAUCGGAUUGAUACUAAGCCAUGCGAGUCAUUGUAGCAAUACAAGGCAGACGGCUCAGUAACGCGUAGUCAAUCUACCCUAUGGACGGGAAUAACCUCGGGAAACUGAGAAUAAUGCCCGACAGAACAUUAUACCUGGAACGGUUUAUGUUUCAAAUGAUUUAUCGCCGUAGGAUGGGACUGCGGCCGAUCAGGCUGUUGGUGAGGUAAUGGCCCACCAAACCUGUAACCGGUACGGGCUCUGAGAGGAGGAGCCCGGAGAUGGGCACUGAGACAAGGGCCCAGGCCCUAUGGGGCGCAGCAGGCGCGAAACCUCUGCAAUAGGCGAAAGCUUGACAGGGUUACUCUGAGUGAUUUCCGUUAAGGAGAUCUUUUGGCACCUCUAAAAAUGGUGCAGAAUAAGGGGUGGGCAAGUCUGGUGUCAGCCGCCGCGGUAAUACCAGCACCCCGAGUGGUCGGGACGUUUAUUGGGCCUAAAGCAUCCGUAGCCGGUUCUACAAGUCUUCCGUUAAAUCCACCUGCUUAACAGAUGGGCUGCGGAAGAUACUAUAGAGCUAGGAGGCGGGAGAGGCAAGCGGUACUCGAUGGGUAGGGGUAAAAUCCGUUGAUCCAUUGAAGACCACCAGUGGCGAAGGCGGCUUGCCAGAACGCGCUCGACGGUGAGGGAUGAAAGCUGGGGGAGCAAACCGGAUUAGAUACCCGGGUAGUCCCAGCUGUAAACGAUGCAGACUCGGUGAUGAAUUGGCUUAUUGCUAAUUCAGUGCCGCAGGGAAGCCGUUAAGUUUGCCGCCUGGGGAGUACGGUCGCAAGACUGAAACUUAAAGGAAUUGGCGGGGGAGCACCACAAGGGGUGAAGCCUGCGGUUCAAUUGGAGUCAACGCCGGAAAUCUUACCGGGGGCGACAGCAGAGUGAAGGUCAAGCUGAAGACUUUACCAGACAAGCUGAGAGGAGGUGCAUGGCCGUCGCCAGCUCGUGCCGUGAGGUGUCCUGUUAAGUCAGGUAACGAGCGAGAUCCCUGCCUCUAGUUGCUACCAUUAUUCUCAGGAGUAGUGGAGCUAAUUAGAGGGACCGCCGUCGCUGAGACGGAGGAAGGUGGGGGCUACGGCAGGUCAGUAUGCCCCGAAACCCUCGGGCCACACGCGGGCUGCAAUGGUAAGGACAAUGAGUUUCGAUUCCGAAAGGAGGAGGCAAUCUCUAAACCUUACCACAGUUAUGAUUGAGGGCUGAAACUCGCCCUCAUGAAUAUGGAAUCCCUAGUAACCGCGUGUCACUAUCGCGCGGUGAAUACGUCCCUGCUCC